rnacentral:lncRNA from 1 species
UCUUUUUAAAAUAAAUUUUUUAUUUUUUUUCUUCUGAAAAGCAAGUUUAAUUUUUUUUUUGACAAUAAAAAAAAAUAAAAUCAGGCAACUUAGUGGGACAGAAGUGUAAAAAAUGUCGAAUUUGGUAAAAGAUAAAUGGGUCGAGUUGAGUCGAGUUACAAUCAAAUUGGUUAAAAGGGACAUAAACACCAAAAAAUAUUACUUUAAUGACCUAAUUGACGAAAAAUAAAUUUUAAGGACGAUUUUAAAAAUGAGUGACAACUUGGGUCAGCCUUUUUCUUUCCUAGUAAAACUAAUGUUUAUUAUAUAUUUAUUUAGUGUUUACUUUAAUAGUGAUGCAUAAUGUGAUAAAUAAAAUUAUAAUCAUAAAUUUUAGAAUAAUGUUUCAUUUUAUAUUAC